GGUCUUUUUCGGAGUAACGAACCAAUGAUCUCUAAAUGCGCAGGUAUCCUUCUGUUGAUCAACAGCAUGCGGCAGCUGUUCAAAUCGUAAAAUUAUUUCCACAACUUAGUAAUACGCGAGUCACACCAACUGCUCCUGAUGAGUCAUUUUUCUUUUGGCGCAACGGAGGCAAGGAAAAGGGUGCUCAUACUGGCAUGAUAUUUCAUCGCAUCCGGAAUGUCAUCAAACAGCUACCUGCAGGAAAACAUAAAUAUAAUCGAGGAACUAUGCCUGUAGAAGAGUCCGUUUCAACUGAACUUGUAGAGCGGGCUCAAUUGCUCCGAGUAAUGCUUGCAUCGGCAUCAGUAGCAGAACAUAUUUGUGAUGAAAUGGACCGAUGCUUUCCAGUCCUCAAACUGUUAUUAAAAGAAAAGAAACCCGUUAAUGAUAUCUUGGAUAUGUUUCCACACCUGUGUUCAUAUGAAGGAUUGGUGGUAACAUGUUUAUUUUUUAUUAUUUACUAUUUCACUUUAUGGUAUUCACGGAACAUAUGAAUAUUUAUAUCAUAUCACUUUUUCUAGAUUCGUCAAAUGUUUGAGAGAUUGUAUCCUAACAGAACAGAAGGUCUCAAAAUCGAGGAUGUCUUCUCUCAGUGUCUAUCUUAUUCACCGUCCAGAUUCUCUAGAGUAGAAGAUGGUGAGAUAUAUUUUUUUUUAAUUUAGCCCAAAGGUCUGUCAUAAAAUUUUAAAUUUGUAAAACUAUUCACAGAUCACAUUCGAGGAUGCUUGAGAAUAAUUUCUCAUAUGCCAAUUCGCGGACAAAAAAGAACGCUGGUAGGCUGUCCAACUGUAGGCGAAGAACAUUCGGCUUCAAUUUUAAUUCGUUGGAUUGGGGAGUGCUUAGAUACAUACGUGGCAUCCCCCGCAACUGAUUCCAAACUACACAUGGUGUGCGUAGCAAGCCCGAUGAAAAGAGGAAAUGAUGCCGUCAUUUGUGAG